rnacentral:tRNA from 1 species
GCUCCCGUAGUUCAACGGAUAGAAUGGCAGCUUGCGGAGCUGCUGAUCCAGGUUCGAUUCCUGGCGGGAGCA